UUCUUCAGUUUUAGUUUAGCU
ensembl:piRNA 21ur-9111 ncRNA